GUCUACAAUACAGAGGAUGGAAAACGAGGGUGCUUUUAGUCUGAGGGCUUCAGCAGGAAAGGCUGAGAGUUGUCCUUCCAGGGAAGAAGCAGGGAAGUCAUCAGGUGGAGGGAUACAUGAAGGAAUGAAGAACAGCCCAGCUUCCUACCUGUCCAUGAGAUAAAGCCUUGCAGGAAGAAUUUCUGUGUUUCCAUUAAAC
rnacentral:lncRNA from 12 species